rnacentral:rRNA from 1 species
AGUGAACGCUGGCGGUAGGCCUAACACAUGCAAGUCGAACGGCAGCACAGUAAGAGCUUGCUCUUACGGGUGGCGAGUGGCGGACGGGUGAGGAAUACAUCGGAAUCUACUUUUUCGUGGGGGAUAACGUAGGGAAACUUACGCUAAUACCGCAUACGACCUACGGGUGAAAGCAGGGGAUCUUCGGACCUUGCGGAUUGAAUGAGCCGAUGUCGGAUUAGCUAGUUAGCGGGGUAAAGGCCCACCAAGGCGACGAUCCGUAGCUGGUCUGAGAGGAUGAUCAGCCACACUGGAACUGAGACACGGUCCAGACUCCUACGGGAGGCAGCAGUGGGGAAUAUUGGACAAUGGGCGCAAGCCUGAUCCAGCCAUACCGCGUGGGUGAAGAAGGCCUUCGGGUUGUAAAGCCCUUUUGUUGGGAAAGAAAAGCAGCAGGUUAAUACCCCGCUGUUCUGACGGUACCCAAAGAAUAAGCACCGGCUAACUUCGUG